UAUUUUCAGUUGAGACAUUAUGCCAUAAUGGGAAGUGUGCUGUUGGUAGAUUGUGAUAAUCUAGGUUCUGGUUGGCCACUCACUACCUACAGGACCUUAAAGGCACUGGUGAGGUGGAUUGAUGAUGAAUCUUCUGACACACCUGGAGCAACUCCAGAACACAGUCGCGAGGAUAAUGGGAAUUUACCGAAACCCGUGGAAGCCUUUAAGGAAUGGAAAGAGUGGAUAAUAAAAUGCCUCACUGUUCUCCAAAAAUAAGGACCUUCAAAUAGGAGUGAUUGAAAUAAAUAACUACUUGCAUGUUAUGCUUUCAUUUGGGUGGAAUACUUCAUUGGAAUAAACUACUGAUCUUGUGCUGUGUCAAAGUAACAGACUAGAACCUUCUUUCAAGUACCUGAAUUGAAAUGAAACUCAUUUUGAAUAAUACAAAACUCUAGAAACUCUU
rnacentral:sRNA from 1 species